rnacentral:rRNA from 1 species
AAUGGGCGAAAGCCUGAAGCAGCAACGCCGCGUGAGGGAUGAAGGCCUUCGGGUCGUAAACCUCUUUGCCGAGGACGAUAAUGACGGUACUCGGUGAAUAAGCCACGGCUAACUACGUGCCAGCAGCCGCGGUAAUACGUAGGUGGCAAGCGUUGUCCGGAUUUACUGGGCGUAAAGAGCGCGCAGGCGGUCGUAUAAGUCGAAUGUGAAAGCCCCCGGCUCAACUGGGGAGGGUCAUUCGAUACUGUUCGACUCGAAGGCAGGAGAGGGAAGUGGAAUUCCGGGUGUAGUGGUGAAAUGCGUAGAUAUCCGGAGGAACACCAGUGGCGAAGGCGACUUUCUGGCCUGUUCUUGACGCUGAGGCGCGAAAGCUAGGGGAGCAAACGAGAUUAGAUACCCCGGUAGUCCUAGCCGUAAACGAUGGACACUAGGUGUUGGUGGUAUCAACCCCGCCAGUGCCGUAGCUAACGCAUUAAGUGUCCCGCCUGGGGAGUACGGCCGCAAGGCUA